rnacentral:rRNA from 1 species
AUUGAACGCUGGCGGCAGGCCUAACACAUGCAAGUCGAGCGGAUGAAGGGAGCUUGCUCCUGGAUUCAGCGGCGGACGGGUGAGUAAUGCCUAGGAAUCUGCCUGGUAGUGGGGGAUAACGUCCGGAAACGGGCGCUAAUACCGCAUACGUCCUGAGGGAGAAAGUGUGGGAUCUUCGGACCUCACGCCAUCAGAUGAGCCUAGGUCGGAUUAGCUAGUUGGUGGGGUAAAGGCCUACCAAGGCGACGAUCCGUAACUGGUCUGAGAGGAUGAUCAGUCACACUGGAACUGAGACACGGUCCAGACUCCUACGGGAGGCAGCAGUGGGGAAUAUUGGACAAUGGGCGAAAGCCUGAUCCAGCCAUGCCGCGUGUGUGAAGAAGGUCUUCGGAUUGUAAAGCACUUUAAGUUGGGAGGAAGGGCAGUAAGUUAAUACCUUGCUGUUUUGACGUUACCAACAGAAUAAGCACCGGCUAACUUCGUG